rnacentral:lncRNA from 1 species
UCCAUUCUCCAUGCAUCAUGUCUAUCCUGUGAUAUUUUUUUAUUGUGAAACAAUACGAGCAAGUUUUGAUAUUCCUCUACCUCCCAAUCUUGCAAGUUCCUCCUAAAUCUCAAGUCUCAUUGCAUUUCUCCCCCUUAUAAGCUCCACAAUUGUAAGACCGACAUCUUCUUUUGGCUUGAUAUAUUGUACAUGUUCAGAUACGUGACUCUCAAUGGGUUGCUCUCGCACCACCUGUGAUCUCAAAAAC